rnacentral:rRNA from 1 species
UUCCUACGGGGCAGCAGUAGGGAAUCUUCCGCAAUGGGCGAAAGCCUGACGGAGCAACGCCGCGUGAGUGAUGAAGGUUUUCGGAUCGUAAAGCUCUGUUGCCAGGGAAGAACGUCCGUAGAGUAACUGCUAUCGGAGUGACGGUACCUGAGAAGAAAGCCCCGGCUAACUACGUGCCAGCAGCCGCGGUAAUACGUAGGGGGCAAGCGUUGUCCGGAAUUAUUGGGCGUAAAGCGCGCGCAGGCGGUCAUUUAAGUCUGGUGUUUAAGGCCAAGGCUCAACCUUGGUUCGCACUGGAAACUGGGUGACUUGAGUGCAGAAGAGGAGAGUGGAAUUCCACGUGUAGCGGUGAAAUGCGUAGAUAUGUGGAGGAACACCAGUGGCGAAGGCGACUCUCUGGGCUGUAACUGACGCUGAGGCGCGAAAGCGUGGGGAGCAAACAGGAUUAGAUACCCUGGGUAGUCC